CACCGGCGGACGGGUGCGUAACACGUGGGAAUGUACCUUUUGGUUCGGAACAACGCAGGGAAACUUGCGCUAAUACCGAAUGUGCCCGGGGAAAGAUUUAUCGCCAAAGGAUCAGCCCGCGUCCGAUUAGCUAGUUGGUGAGGUAAAGGCUCACCAAGGCGACGAUCGGUAGCUGUUCUGAGAGGAAGAUCAGCCACACUGGGACUGAGACACGGCCCAGACUCCUACGGGAGGCAGCAGUUGGGAAUCUUGGACAAUGGGGGAAACCCUGAUCCAGCCAUGCCGCGUGAGUGAUGAAGGCCUUAGGGUUGUAAAACUCUUUCGGCGGGGACGAUAAUGACGGUACCCGCAGAAGAAGCUCCGGCUAACUUCGUGCCAGCAGCCGCGGUAAUACGAAGGGGGCUAGCGUUGUUCGGAAUUACUGGGCGUAAAGCGCGCGCAGGCGGCCAUCCAAGUCAGUGGUGAAAGCCCGGAGCUCAACUCCGGAACUGCCAUUGAAACUGUUUGGCUCGAGUACGGGAGAGGUGAGUGGAAUUCCCAGUGUAGAGGUGAAAUUCGUAGAUAUUGGGAAGAACACCGGUGGCGAAGGCGGCUCACUGGCCCGUUUC
rnacentral:rRNA from 1 species